rnacentral:tRNA from 2 species
GGUCCUGUAGCUCAGUCGGUUAGAGCAGUGAACUCAUAAUUCAUUGGUCAUUGGUUCAAACCCAAUCAGGAUCA